CAGCCGCCGCGGGAAUACGAAGGGGGCUAGCGUUGUUCGGAUUUACUGGGCGUAAAGCGCACGUAGGCGGAUCUUUAAGUCAGAGGUGAAAUCCCAAGGCUCAACCUUGGAACUGCCUUUGAUACUGGGGAUCUCGAGUUCGGGAGAGGUGAGUGGAACUGCGAGUGUAGAGGUGAAAUUCGUAGAUAUUCGCAAGAACACCAGUGGCGAAGGCGGCUCACUGGCCCGAUACUGACGCUGAGGUGCGAAAGCGUGGGGAGCAAACAGGAUUAGAUACCCGCGUAGUCCCUGUCUCUUAUAC
rnacentral:rRNA from 1 species